GACGAACGCUGGCGGCGUGCUUAAUACAUGCAAGUCGAGCGAAGUUUUUCUGGUGCUUGCACUAGAAAAACUUAGCGGCGAACGGGUGAGUAACACGUAAAGAACCUGCCUCAUAGACUGGGACAACUAUUGGAAACGAUAGCUAAUACCGGAUAACAGCAUUAACUGCAUGGUUGAUGUUUAAAAGUUGGUUUUGCUAACACUAUGAGAUGGCUUUGCGGUGCAUUAGCUAGUUGGUGGGGUAAAGGCCUACCAAGGCGACGAUGCAUAGCCGACCUGAGAGGGUGAUCGGCCACACUGGGACUGAGACACGGCCCAGACUCCUACGGGAGGCAGCAGUAGGGAAUCUUCCGCAAUGGGCGAAAGCCUGACGGAGCAACGCCGCGUGAGUGAAGAAGGAUUUCGGUUCGUAAAGCUCUGUUGUUAGGGAAGAAUGAUUGUGUAGUAACUAUACACAGUAGAGACGGUACCUAACCAGAAAGCCACGGCUAACUACGUGCCAGCAGCCGCGGUAAUACGUAGGUGGCAAGCGUUGUCCGGAAUUAUUGGGCGUAAAGCGCGCGCAGGUGGUUUAAUAAGUCUGAUGUGAAAGCCCACGGCUCAACCGUGGAGGGUCAUUGGAAACUGUUAAACUUGAGUGCAGGAGAGAAAAGUGGAAUUCCUAGUGUAGCGGUGAAAUGCGUAGAGAUUAGGAGGAACACCAGUGGCGAAGGCGGCUUUUUGGCCUGUAACUGACACUGAGGCGCGAAAGCGUGGGGAGCAAACAGG
rnacentral:rRNA from 1 species